GAGAACCUCCGGGGGCGGGGAGGUUCGACUCGAGCGAAGCGAGAGAACGUUGCGCCAGCAACGGCCCGCAGGGCGAGCCACGAAGUGGCGAGUAAUCCUCUAUCACCGACCA
rnacentral:sRNA from 1 species